GACGAACGCUGGCGGCGUGCCUAGUACAUGCAAGUAGAACGCUGAAGAGAGGAGCUUGCUCUUCUUGGAUGAGUUGCGAACGGGUGAGUAACGCGUAGGUAACCUGCCUUGUAGCGGGGGAUAACUAUUGGAAACGAUAGCUAAUACCGCAUAACAAUGGAUGACACAUGUCAUUUAUUUGAAAGGGGCAAUUGCUCCACUACAAGAUGGACCUGCGUUGUAUUAGCUAGUAGGUGAGGUAAUGGCUCACCUAGGCGACGAUACAUAGCCGACCUGAGAGGGUGAUCGGCCACACUGGGACUGAGACACGGCCCAGACUCCUACGGGAGGCAGCAGUAGGGAAUCUUCGGCAAUGGGGGCAACCCUGACCGAGCAACGCCGCGUGAGUGAAGAAGGUUUUCGGACCGUAAAGCUCUGUUGUAAGUCAAGAACGGGUGUGAGAGUGGAAAGUUCACACUGUGACGGUAGCUUACCAGAAAGGGACGGCUAACUACGUG
rnacentral:rRNA from 1 species